UAUUCCGUAGCUAAAUAGUAGUUAAAAUAUGUUGAAUUUUUUGUUUUAUUUUCUAAAUUAGAUUUCCGUUGUUAAAGAGUCGUUAAUAUUUAUCUAAAUAGUUCUCUGCAUCUUCUCUAGUUCAGCUCACGAGUCACGCCCCCUUUGCCGUCUAUCUCUGAAAUAAGCUCCCGCGCCGUCGUUCUCCCCGCCGCGCGCUUCGAUCUCCGCCGUCUUCCCCGCCGCCCGCUCCGAUAUCCGCCGUCUAUCUCUGCAUCUUCUCCCCAUCGUCGCCUUCAGUUGCUGCUGCCAUUGCUGGAACAAUGAUCUGAAGACCGAUCAUUCGGCCAAUUGAAAGCUCUUACUGCUAGAAUACACAACAGCUCUAUUUCACUCUCAGAGAUCUGCAUCAUUGUAUUCAUCGAUUGCUACUCGGCGAGAACUCACAGCCAUCGUCACUUCCUCUGCCGGCGUCGCCCUCCGCUUCUCAACCUGAAUCAGG